GAUGAACGCUGGCGGCGUGCCUAAUACAUGCAAGUCGAGCGAACAGACGAGGAGCUUGCUCCUCUGACGUUAGCGGCGGACGGGUGAGUAACACGUGGAUAACCUACCUAUAAGACUGGGAUAACUUCGGGAAACCGGAGCUAAUACCGGAUAAUAUAUUGAACCGCAUGGUUCAAUAGUGAAAGACGGUUUUGCUGUCACUUAUAGAUGGAUCCGCGCCGCAUUAGCUAGUUAGUAAGGUAACGGCUUACCAAGGCAACGAUGCGUAGCCGACCUGAGAGGGUGAUCGGCCACACUGGAACUGAGACACGGUCCAGACUCCUACGGGAGGCAGCAGUAGGGAAUCUUCCGCAAAGGGCGAAAGCCUGACGGAGCAACGCCGCGUGAGUGAUGAAGGUCUUCGGAUCGUAAAACUCUGUUAUUAGGGAAGAACAAAUGUGUAAGUAACUAUGCACGUCUUGACGGUACCUAAUCAGAAAGCCACGGCUAACUACGUG
rnacentral:rRNA from 1 species